UUCUGGCUCAGGAUGAACGCUAGCUACAGGCUUAACACAUGCAAGUCGCGGGGCAGCAUGGUCUUAGCUUGCUAAGACUGAUGGCGACCGGCGCACGGGUGAGUAACGCGUAUCCAACCUUCCCCUUAGUAGGGCAUAGCCCGGCGAAAGUCGGAUUAAUACCCUAUGUUCUUCGUAGAUGGCAUCUGAGACGAAGCAAAGGUUAGCGCUAAGGGAUGGGGAUGCGUCUGAUUAGGCAGUCGGCGGGGUAACGGCCCACCGAGCCAUCGAUCAGUAGGGGUUCUGAGAGGAAGGUCCCCCACAUUGGAACUGAGACACGGUCCAAACUCCUACGGGAGGCAGCAGUGAGGAAUAUUGGUCAAUGGGCGAGAGCCUGAACCAGCCAAGUAAGCGUGCAGGACGACGGCCCUACGGGUUGUAAACUGCUUUUAUGCGGGGAUAAAGUGCCCUACGUGUAGGGUAUUGCAGGUACCGCAUGAAUAAGGACCGGCUAAUUCCGUGCCAGCCGCGGC
rnacentral:rRNA from 1 species